UCCUUGUUAGCUCAGUUGGUAGAGCGUUCGGCUUUUAACCGAAAUGUCACGGGUUCGAGCCCCGUAUGAGGAG